rnacentral:rRNA from 1 species
UACGUAGGGUGCGAGCGUUAAUCGGAAUUACUGGGCGUAAAGCGUGCGCAGGCGGUUGGCAAAGUCAGCUGUGAAAGCCCCGGGCUUAACCUGGGAAUGGCGGUUGAAACUAGUCGACUAGAAUCUGGCAGAGGGGGGUGGGAAUUCCACGUGUAGCAGUGGAAAUGCGUAGAGAAUGUGGAGGAACACCGAUGGCGAAGGGACAGCCCCCUGGGCUGAGCAU